GCCUCGGUAGCACAGUGGCAGUGCGCUUGCUUGGAUAGCAAGAGGCCGCGGGUCCAAUUCCCGCCCGAGGCU
rnacentral:tRNA from 1 species